CUCCGGGACCUAUGCGGCGGGAACACCGUGAACCGGGUCAGGCGGGGAACCGAGCAGCCCUAAGCGGUCGACUCGCGUGCUGUAGGACCACCUGGAGCAG
rnacentral:SRP_RNA from 1 species